GGCAAAGUGGCCGAGUGGUCCAAGGCGCUGGAAUUAGGUCAUGUUUACAAAAUCUCCUUAAAAAGGAAAUACACGUGACAUCCAGUCCUCCGGGGCGUGAGUUCGAACCUCACCUUUGUCA
rnacentral:tRNA from 1 species